rnacentral:lncRNA from 10 species
AUGGCCGCGGCGGCCUCAGGUCCGGCGUCACUCAGACAAGGGGGCGGGUGGAGGAGGAAGCGGCCAAGUCCACAGUCCUGCUCCCGUGCCGCCGAGCACCGCCCACCUCAGCUGACCAGCCCUGUCCGCUACUAGGCCUCGCCUAGAGGAGGGAAAGGCCGUGGCGUCCGCUCCCUCCGCGGCUCAUGGCGACGACGCUUGGCACAUCCGGGACCCUCAGGCCGCUGCAGUCGCGUCGCCGGCUGCUCGGGCCCCAGCCCCGGCCGCUGUGGUGACUCCGCCGCGCCUCGCCGUCGCCCCCGUCCCGCCCGCCGCCCCAGCCGCCAGGGACAUGUCUAACCUCGGAGGCCGUAGGAACGGGCCUGUCGAAGUGCGCCUGACAGGGACAUGCCACCCCCGUUUUAGGAGAACUUGUAUUUGGUUUGAGAAGGAAUUGGAAUCACGGCGUUAUCCUACCUUCACCAUUUACCCCUGAUAAAUUGUCCACGUUUAUAUUUGGG